GAAACUGCGAAUGGCUCAUUAAAUCAGUUAUGGUUUAUUUGAUGGUACCUACUACUUGGAUAACCGUAGUAAUUCUAGAGCUAAUACAUGCAGGAAGACCCGACUUCGGAAGGGUUGUAUUUAUUAGAUAAGAAACCAAUCCAGCUUGCUGGUUGCGUGCCGAGUCACAAUAACUGCUCGAAUCGCAUGACUUUACGUCGGCGAUGGUUCAUUCAAAUUUCUGCCCUAUCAGCUUUCGAUGGUAGGAUCGAGGCCUACCAUGGCGUUUACGGGUAACGGAGAAUUAGGGUUCGAUUCCGGAGAGGGAGCCUGAGAAAUGGCUACCACAUCCAAGGAAGGCAGCAGGCGCGUAAAUUGCCCGAAUCCUGACACAGGGAGGUAGUGACAAGAAAUAACGAUACAGGGCUACAUCUAGUCUUGUAAUUGGAAUGAGUACAAUUUACAUCUCUUAACGAUGAUCAAUUGGAGGGCAAGUCUGGUGCCAGCAGCCGCGGUAAUUCCAGCUCCAAUAGCGUAUAUUAAAGUUGUUGCAGUUAGAACGCUCGUAGUCGGAUUUCGGGGCAGUCCGACCGGUCUGCCGAUGGGUAUGCACUGGCCGGAGUGUCCUUUUUGCCGGAGACCGUGCCUACUCUUAACUGAGCGGGGGCGGGAGACGGCACUUUUACUUUGAAAAAAUCAGAGUGUUUCAAGCAGGCAGCUCGCUCUUGCAUGGAUUAGCAUGGGAUAAUGAAAUAGGACUUUGGUGCUAUUUUGUUGGUUUCGAACACCGAAGUAAUGAUGAGAAGGGACAGUCAGGGGCACUCGUAUUCCACAGAGAGAGGUGAAAUUCUCAGACCCCCGGAAGACGAACCACUGCGAAAGCAUUUGCCAGGGAUGUUUUCACUGAUCAAGAACGAAAGUUAGGGGAUCGAAGAUGAUCAGAUACCGUCGUA
rnacentral:rRNA from 1 species